rfam:Sphingomonadales bacterium GWF1_63_6 gwf1_scaffold_4412, whole genome shotgun sequence.
CAAACUCGCCUUUCAGGCAUCCUCUCCUAAAACUUUUACGGGCUGGUCUUCGGAUCGGCCCUUUUUUUGUCCAGCG